CUGGGAGUGCAGUCUGCGCCCGCCGAGCCCUCAGUGUCCAUUUUACAACAGCGCUUUGCACGUUACGCUGAACGGCUCGGGUCUGGGCGCGGCCGAGACACCAGACUGCGGCAGGGGCUGGGCAGGGGGGCUGUGAGGGGGUGUGGAGGGAAGUAGGGCAGCGGAGGAGGGGCGGCGGCGGCAGCUGGGGCUGGUGCCGGGGGCGAUCCGCAGCCCCGGAGGCGCAGACCGCGGGGGAGGGGCAGGGGCUCCGUCCCAGGCUGUUGUGGGACCGAACGCGGGCGGGAGGAUGUCUGACUCAGAACUGCAUCCUCUGAGGCAGAAACGCCAAAACUCCCUCCUCAGCUGCUCUCCCCCCCGCCUCCGGCUUCCUCCUCACGAACGUCGUUACUCUCAGCAUACCUAUUCUUUAUGAAUCUCAACCUGAGGAGUAAAUUUUCGCCACAAAGUACGCGAAAAGCCGGGCAGACCCGCCGGAUCUCACACACGCAGAGGAACUUACUUGAGGGGCGGGGAAGAGGGGGGCGAGAAAGGGGAAGGAGCGGGAGCUUUGACCGAGACCCGUUCAGGGCGAUGUGGAGGUUUUGACUGAAUCUCCCCUGUCAAGAAGACAGUUGAGGCUGAGAGUCUUCCCCGAAGCGUUUUAAGGCUCAUAUAUAAGGCAAGUGGGAGAGAGCUUCGGUUCUUAAAGCGAGUGGGACAGCACUAGCUGAAGGCGUUUCUUUUCUGCAGGGAACGAGACGAGCAGUGAACGAGCCUCGUUUCCCCUUUAGGGAACGGCACUCGGGGAGCAGGUAUGGUCUGCUUUUAUCCGGACCACCGGGAGCUGGCAAAGCGAGAGGGUCGCCAGCCUCUCAGGGAGGACGCAGCUUCUGCCGUUUGCACGGAACUCCUCUCCCUUCCACCAUAUCCCCUCCCAGCUCCUGUUCUGCCCGCACACCGCCCUACCUCCCCUGCCCGGCUUCAGCCCCUCCAGCGAUACGGCUGAUUGAGGGAGGGGAGGCGGUGGCUGGGGUUUCAUUCGACGCCCACCAGGGGCUGAGCGAGCCUCCUUCAGUGCGCAAACUCGGGGCACCAGAUAAAAGCUGGGCUGGCAGCUCUUACCCUGCCUCGAUGGAGCCGCCACAAUCGGGUGACUGGAGAAGCAGUUAGCAGCAGCGCCAUAGACUAGCGUCCCCCCACACCUUGGGCAGAGAGAGUUUGGGGCUCUAAACAGCUGCUGCUGCGGCAGGAGGGAGCCGAGGUGAAGGGAUCUGCUAGCUGGUUGGACGCAGAGGAGGCGGCUGUAAUGGGGCACUGAGCCUGAGGGAGGAGGGGGGCGAUUAAACGUCUUGUGAUCACGGCGGAGUCUAUGGGUAUGCUGAACCAGACAGCACCAUCACAGAUCUCUGGGGAACUGCACUGAUGAACUUUGUCCACUGUGAGCACUGACCAUCUUGUCUUCUGUUUCCCAUCUUUUAACCAUCAUUUACCCCUGGAAGGAUCUUCCCUCUUAAGCCAUGGCUGCUUGGUUUCCUUAAAAGCCUUUUUGAGGAACAUGGUUGAAAGCUGUCUUGAAACUCAAAUGCACUUAUACCAACCAAACCAUCCUCAUCCUUAUGGCUGCUGAGCCCUUCCAAGAAGUCUGAUAGUGCUUGAUGCAGAUUUCCAUU